CCAGGUACACCCAGGUGUGCUCCAGGUACACCCAGGUGUGCCCAGGUGUGCCCAGGUGUCCCCAGGUGUGCCCAGGUGUCCCCAGGUGUGCCCAGGUGUUCCCAGCUGUCCCCAGGUGUGCCCAGGUGUGCCCCAGGUGUAUCUCAGGUACCCUCACCUGUCUCAUGAACUCCUUGGAGGUGCACACCAGCUCGUGGUACAGCACCCAGCGGGGCUGCAGCGAGAACAGGGCGCUGUUGGGGUGGAUGAACACCGGCUGUUGGUGUUUCACCGUGCGGUACCCGCCCCGCGCCAAACGCGCCGUGUGGUAAAAGAACCCGGCUGUGAUGGCCUGGGGGGACAGGAAACGGGGGGACACCGUCGCUGGGGGGACAGGAAACGGGGGGACACCGUCACUGGGGGGACAGGAAACGGGG
rnacentral:lncRNA from 1 species